CGAGGAGAAGCGAGCAGAAACACGCCGGAGAGGAGCCGGAAGGAAGCGCCUCAUGGGCCGAGGCGCCCAUGCUAGAGCCGCUUUCCUGGGACUAAGCCCCACUGGAGCUCGGGUUUUAAAACAAAACACAGUGGAACAACCGCACAAUAUUUCCAUGUGUGAAUGACCCAUCACAAAGCUGUGAGCCUGACCAUAGGCAGAAGCCAUCUUCUGGAGGUGCUCUCACUUUCAAAGAAAUAGCUGCAAAUCUGGGUCUCCUGUAUAUGUUUUGAUGUCAUAAAUACCUCUCUGAAUAUCCAGAAUCCAUGAAGGAAAGGAGCAAUGUCACCACCUUUUUGCGUCCCUAAAACAGAGUCAACCAAAUCAGGUGCCCCUUCCUUUGUCUCAGCGCCUGUCUCUGCAAUGUCCUGACACACUGCAGCAGUUCCAGUAGAACCGUGGUGGAAAGUUUAUUGUUAUGGGGCAGCCAGU